GCCAACGAGUGGCGGACGGGUGAGUAACACGUAGGUAACCUGCCCAGAAGCGGGGGACAACAUUUGGAAACAGAUGCUAAUACCGCAUAACAGCGUUGUUCGCAUGAACAACGCUUAAAAGAUGGCUUCUCGCUAUCACUUCUGGAUGGACCUGCGGUGCAUUAGCUUGUUGGUGGGGUAACGGCCUACCAAGGCGAUGAUGCAUAGCCGAGUUGAGAGACUGAUCGGCCACAAUGGGACUGAGACACGGCCCAUACUCCUACGGGAGGCAGCAGUAGGGAAUCUUCCACAAUGGGCGCAAGCCUGAUGGAGCAACACCGCGUGAGUGAAGAAGGGUUUCGGCUCGUAAAGCUCUGUUGUUAAAGAAGAACACGUAUGAGAGUAACUGUUCAUACGUUGACGGUAUUUAACCAGAAAGUCACGGCUAACUACGUGCCAGCAGCCGCGGUAAUACGUAGGUGGCAAGCGUUAUCCGGAUUUAUUGGGCGUAAAGAGAGUGCAGGCGGUUUUCUAAGUCUGAUGUGAAAGCCUUCGGCUUAACCGGAGAAGUGCAUCGGAAACUGGAUAACUUGAGUGCAGAAGAGGGUAGUGGAACUCCAUGUGUAGCGGUGGAAUGCGUAGAUAUAUGGAAGAACACCAGUGGCGAAGGCGGCUACCUGGUCUGCAACUGACGCUGAGACUCGAAAGCAU
rnacentral:rRNA from 2 species